AGGCAUCCCUAAUGAGAGGAAAUCAGAUCUCCUCCCUCCCCUUGCUUCACUUCUGAAGGUUGAUGCACAAGGCUUCAUCUCGCUUUUCUAUGGAGCUUGGCAUGCGUGCGAAGUAGAGGGCUUGUGCUUUCAGACCUCCUGAGGUAUCGGAUUCAAAUUAUCUUUGGGGAUUUGAUCCCUAUUCCACUGUGAUCAAGGUAAUCCAUAAUUGUUAUGCAAGCUUUUAUAUAGAAAAGUUUUCAAAACACACCCUGGUGAUCCGAUCAGAUUGGAUACUUUCCCUUCAAUUGGUAUUAGAGUAGGAUUGAUGCAUGCUAUGCAUAGUUUUUUUUUUUUGAUAUUUUUAUAUGAGAUAUAUGAUCAAAAUUUUAUAUAGGACAUUACAUC
rnacentral:lncRNA from 1 species